CCUUACAAGGACAAUACUUGAAACACAUGUUGGGUAUUUAAUUUCCCGAAUAAAUCCAGCUUCAAUGAGUUUGUUAACUUCAGUUUCAAUCAUGGGAACCAAGUCCGGCCUAAAACGCUUUUAAGCUUGUUUAACAGGGCGAGCACCAUUUUUGACUGCAAGGUGAUGGACUACUACGUUCGGGUCCAAGCCAGGCAUCUCUUUGGAACUCCAAGCAAAGACAUCCCUGAAAUCUUUGAGUAACUCAAUAUAAGUGCUCUCUUCAUCAACUUCUAGUAAAGCACUUAGGUAAGUGGGUCUUGGUUCUUCAUCGGCGCCAAGGUUAACUUCUUUUAAGGCAUCAACUGUCGUCUUCAAUUUUUCUUCAAGUUCAUGUGGAGCAUCUUUCGCAUCUUCAUCUUUUUGAGGGUCCGCAUCUUUGAAGGAUAUGUGAUAACACGGCGAAACAUCCUAUAUUUUUGCAUUAUCUUCCAUUGAAGAUGGAGUGUCAUUCUCAACUUGUACAGUAGCAUGAUACGAAGAACCCACACUUUCUUUGUCUUCAUCAUGUUCCUUAGUAUAGACCACAAUAUAGGGUUUUACCUUCAGCACUUUUUUACAUGAAACCACAAGUUUUGUUUGUCGCCUCAUUCUAGAAUGAAUCAAACUUUGGAAAUCCUUCGAGAUCUCCUGGAUUUUGGGUGAAGCGGGUGUUCUUAUGCUUUAAAAAUUUCUCCGGAACUUGUUCCCCUUCUUUAGUAGACCCAAUCUUUCAAACACGGAGGUCCUCACAUAUGAUUUUCCAGGUCGAUCAAAGAUAGAAGGCUUGUUAGAAGAGGUUGAUUCAUCUUUUAUAGUGAUAUAAUUGCUGCCCGCCCUUCUUAUUGAGAUGCACACUGGUGACGGUUGUUUGUAUCCCAAACCUUCAACUUGUACCUCGUUGUAACUUCUGAUGGGAGCUUCCCUAACUUUGACGACUCAUCGGGAUUGUAUCCAGCUUUUGCAAAUAGCUUGCAAGUGUUAGGAUCAAAAACUUCAUUCGUUCGCUUUGUAGGGAGUGCCACAUUCUGAAACUAUUUUGGGCUACAAACCCUGCAAGCGGUUUUGAGGACAACUUUACUGCCUCAAUUCGUUUUACUGGAAGAGUUAACUCCCUUAGAAUCUUGGUUUGGAGAUUAUGUGAUUCGACCUCGUCUUUCUUCCUUUUAGGGGCAUAUUAGAGUGUAGAACUUACUUUCUUUCCAUAAGAGGCAAUACCCCCUUUAUGAUAUUUAUUCACGUUGGCGGGUACCUCCUCAGUAACAGUUUUGGCUUUGCCAAUAGUCACAUCAGCUUUUUUUCUUAUGGGUUCGUCAUUCUUUCUUUUCGUACCAUUAUCAACUUUAAGCUCCUUCACAAUGCAGUUCUUCAAGUAGAACUUUGCAUCAGCGAAGUGUGACUCAGCCUCAGUGAAUGGCUCAUCAUCAGCAACUACCGUCUUCUCGACUUUACCCUCGUAGUAUUUUAAACAUUGAUGGUAGGUAGAUGGAACAACUUUAUUCUCGGUGAAUGAAUAUGACCUUUUCCUCACAAGCAUUAACUUCUUAGGAGUGAACUCGACGGUCUUUUCUGAAGAUGGUUCCAACGGUAGGUUAUCACUCUUUUCUUCCCCUUUGUCAGCAUGGCAACAAGAGGCAUCAAUGCCCUCAUGGGAAAUCUUUGUGCGGAACCAACUUGGUAAAAACUCCUCCAAGGUCACUGGAUU
rnacentral:lncRNA from 1 species